CUCGAAGGCUACAGCGUUUAUUUUUCUCUUUUGGGGGGUUUUGGCGGUUGUUUCAGGGGCUCGCCAACUGGCCCCUUUAAUUAAAAGCUUCAAUAAAAGGCGAUCGCGCCAGGAAUGCACCCGCUCCUCUCCGCGCAGGAUUUGCAUAUUUUUUUAAUGCCCUAAUUUCCUUGAUGUAUGUAAAUGUAGCCGGACGUAGAGGGAGACAGGGAGCUGACGUCAAUGGACGUGACCUCGCAGCUAAACCUUGAACGUGAAGCCGGGAUGGGGGAAAACACGGAGCGGCAGCCGGCGGAGCCCGCGAGCGCGGGCUCCAGCCCUGGGCCUCCAGCCGCACCCAAUACACGUCUUCUGCUGCCCCCAGAAAAACAACACGCCCCAAACAACAGAUCACAAACCAAACCGAAUCCCCAAAGCUUUCAGACCGGUGCUUGGGUAGCUUAUCAGAACGAAGACUGCCCAGGCCCGUGGAGCGUGAUUUUUUUUUUUUUUUUUUGGCUUCUCUCCACACGAAGAGGAGGGGGAGACCCCAGACAACAGCAAACCACUCCUAAAACACCAUAAGCCACACGUGUUCCCAGUAGGGAGAGAUGAGACCGCAAAGAAGCAUAACAUGAAUAGAUAAUCCAUCCAACCAAAGACCACACCUUAUCGGCUUGCUAAUGAAAUACAGGAGAUUGAUUGCAGAACAUCUUCAAGGGAAUAUUUGCUGUACCACGUAUAGUUGGGCCAACCUUCCUUCAUGUGUUCCUUCCUUCCUCCCUCUCUCCCUCUCUCCCUCCUUUCCUUUCUUCCUUCCUUCCAUCCCUCUCUUCCUCCCUCCCUCUUUUCAGCUUUCUUAUUUGUUUGAGAACCCGAGAGAUGGAGAGACAAAGAGACAGAUGGAAGAGAUUUUCCAUUCGCUGGUUCUCUCCAAAUGCCUGCACCAGGAGGGGCUGGGUCAGGAUGAAGGCAGGAGCCAGGAGCUCCACCUGAGCCAUCACCCGCUGCCUUCCAGGAUGCACAUUAGAGGAACCAGAGGGGAGCCAGGACUUGGACCUAGGCACUCUAACAUGGACGUGAGUGUCCCAAGUGGUGUCAUAACUGCUAGGCCCAGUGUCCACCCCACUUUGUAUUGUUUAAUCUACUGGCACUUAUGGAGUCCCUGUCUUGCAUGGGGUGCUGGGCAGAGUCACUGCUGGGGUGUUGGCAAAUCCAAUCGAAGACAUUAUCAUUAA
rnacentral:lncRNA from 1 species